rnacentral:rRNA from 1 species
AGGAAGGCUCUUGGGUCGUAAACCUCUUUUCUUAGGGAAGAACAAAAUGACGGUACCUAAGGAAUAAGCAUCGGCUAACUCCGUGCCAGCAGCCGCGGUAAUACGGAGGAUGCAAGCGUUAUCCGGAAUGAUUGGGCGUAAAGCGUCCGCAGGUGGCGAUGAAAGUCUGCUGUUAAAGAGUCUAGCUCAACUAGAUAAAAGCAGUGGAAACUACAUAGCUAGAGUACGUUCGGGGCAGAGGGAAUUCCUGGUGUAGCGGUGAAAUGCGUAGAGAUCAGGAAGAACACCAGUGGCGAAGGCGCUCUGCUAGGCCGUAACUGACACUGAGGGACGAAAGCUAGGGGAGCGAAUGGGAUUAGAUA